GGUCCCUGAAGGUAAAUAUUUGCACGGUGUCCAGUUUGUAUUUCUCCAGCCUAAUGUGGCACUGAGCCCAGCAGACAUUCUGGCGCCAGCAGGACACCCCUGGAACUGAAGGUCUUUGUACCAGGAAGAAAGUGCCUCUUCCUUGAAGGAGAGGGAGCCCUGCCACUUGGAAGCGGUUGGGGCACGGGAACCAGAAGGAUGCUCCCAAGGGAGAGUUUCGGAGCGGCUGCGAGCCAGGCGGGGAGCCAGGUCUGGCGGCGGGUGCCAGGCAGCCCGGCGUGGAGUGCGGCCAGCGGUGGGCAGCGGCGCUGCGCGGGCCCCCGCGGGGCUGUCAGGAGUGGGCGGGUCCGGGAGAGCCGCGCUCGAGGACAGCUGGCGCCGCGACAGCAGCGCCGGGGACGCUGACAGGUUCUGCAAAUAACAGCUGCGGAGCAAUCUUUCUGUUUGGACAACGUGGGAAGGGCCAUUGUUCGCAAAUUGGUCUCUUCAAUAACACCUGCACUCACAGUUAAUAAUGCAUUGUCGGUCUCCCCCGGUUUUCUAAGACAAAAGACGGCAGCGGAGGGAGGAGCGAGGGGUGACGGGAGGGAGCGGAGCAACUCGCCAACCAGGCAGGGGGCAAGCGAGGACCCCGGGUCCCGUCCCCGGACCCAUCCCUCACUGUGGGUCUCUGCU